rnacentral:rRNA from 1 species
GGCCUUUACUGACGCUAAAGCUCGAAGGUGCGGGUAUCGAACAGGAUUAGAUACCCUGGUAGUCCGCACGGUAAACGAUGGAUGCCCGCUGUUUGCGAUAUAUUGUAAGCGGCCAAGAGAAAUCGUUAAGCAUCCCACCUGGGGAGUACGCCGGCAACGGUGAAACUCAAAGGAAUUGACGGGGGCCCGCACAAGCGGAGGAACAUGUGGUUUAAUUCGAUGAUACGCGAGGAACCUUACCCGGGCUUGAACUGCAGCGGAAGGAAACAGAGAUGUUGACGCCCUUCGGGGCUCCUGUGGAGGUGCUGCAUGGUUGUCGUCAGCUCGUGCCGUGAGGUGUCGGCUUAAGUGCCAUAACGAGCGCAACCCUUUUCAUUAGUUGCCAUCAGGUGAUGCUGGGCACUCUGGUGAUACUGCCACCGUAAGGUGUGAGGAAGGUGGGGAUGACGUCAAAUCAGCACGGCCCUUACGUCCGGGGCUACACACGUGUUACAAUGGGUGGUACAGAGAGUCGGUCGUCUGCAAAUGCGAUCCAAUCCUUAAAGCCAUCCUCAGUUCGGAUUGGGGUCUGCAACCCGACCCCAUGAAGCUGGAUUCGCU